UUUACCUCAACUUCUAAGAGAGGCGAGCUUCUUCAAAAUGGAAUCAAUAGAAGAAAUUUCAGUGAAAAAGAGCAUUUGGCUAUUUCACUGAAAAUUAAAAUCAGCAAAACCCAACAAACCUAAAAUUUAAAAUCAUAAAAAACUAUAACGUGUUAGGUACAUAUCAAGUGUCAGGUGUGGUACUAGGCACUUCCAUGCCCUCCCAUUUCAUCUUUGAGGCAGCCCCAGGAGGAGGUACGGUGACCCUAUUGUGCUGGUGAGGGAGAGGGGGGCGUGUGCCUCCUAGAGCCAGGGUUCCCCUGGGUCAGUCGGACACCGAACCCUAGUCCAUCCCGUGUGAAUAGAACAGACAGGAACUAGGGGGAGACGCAUUUAACAUUUGUGAAAGCUUAUUCCAAUAAAUUAGAGAAUCACCAAGAUAUUCUAAUCAUAAAGGGUCCACACAUGACAGUUCCUGUAGCACAGGUGCCAUAAGCAGCCAGACACAGGGGGCUUCCUGAGAGCCCCUAACCCAACAUGCCUGGGGAGGGGUCUCUGGCAGAUCUGACCACUCUCAGGGCCACAGAACUCAAAAGGGAGCUGAGAGAGGCUCAGGAGACAGCCCAAAAGGCCACAGUGCCCCCUGAGACGAGGCCUGGCCCCUGGGAAGGCAAGACAGUGUCUGGCAGACACCACCUGGGUGACCUAAGUGAAGCAUGUGGGUCCAUCUUCAAAAUAAGAGCUGUUGGGAGGGUUAAACGAAGCCACAGAUGACAAGUGCCCAGCACCUGGUAGGUGUUCCAGGGCUCUGUCCCGGUUCCCAGCCCUCCUGGCACCUCCUUCGUGUGGGGCUGGAGGAAACCAAGGCGUGUAUGCAAGGAGCUUGUGACAAAGUUGUUGAAGCAGUGAUGGAGGAAAUGGGACAGGGGUGUGACCUAGUGAUCAGGAAGCUGCGUCUAUUUCUAGGCUGCAGGUGCAAAGGGGGUGGUGGGGUGGGGGUGCUGUGUAGCAAUGAGAAGGCCAUCAGCACCCUGGCUGGAGGCAACAGCCCAUGCACACACGCCUGCACCCACCUUCUAGUCUGAUGCAGAGGUCUCCCUUGGCUACUCUCGCUGGAACCUGGCCAGCCAGGGAGCAGGGGUAUAUAUGGCUUCCAGGCUUCUAGCCCUAGCAGUGUGUGGUAGGCAAAUAACGACUCCUCUAAAGAUAUCUACAUCCUAAUCCCAGAACCUGUGGAUAGGCUGAGUCACACUGCAAGAGGGAAUGAAGGCUGCAGAUAGAGCGAAGGUUUCUAACCACCUGACUUUAAAGUAGGGAGAUUAUGCUGGAUUAUCUGCAUGAAUCCAAUAUCCGUGAAAGUGGACGAGGAAAUCAGAAGAGAACCAUCAGAGAGCAACACGAGGACUCAUCCAACACUAUCAGCCUUGAGGAUGGAGGAAGGAGGAUGAGCAAGUGCCUCCAGAAGCUGCAAACGGUGAGGCUCCCAUUCUCCCGUGCAGCCUCCACGGAGGGAUGUGCGUUGAUUUGAGCCCAGUGAGAAGCGUGCUGGAUUUCUACUCUACAGAACUGUAAGCUAGUCACUUUGUGUUGUUCCCAGCCACUACCUCUGUGGUAGGGUUAGGGUUAGAGUUACGGUUUGGGUUAUCACAGCAGCCACAGAAAAGAGGGGUCACCAAAAGAGAGGCUGCCUGCGAUGGGAAAGCCAUGGACCCAGGAUCCUGCAUUACUGGAGCCAGGUCUCUCUGUUCUAGGGGCCUGGAGACACAGAGAGGUGGUAGUAUUAUCGCUGCUUUAUAAAUUAAGAAACCAAAGGACAGAGAGGUCAAAACACCUGCCUCAAGCUACACGGCACUCUGCGGUGGUUCUGGGAUUCGAGCCCAGGCAGCCUGACUGGGGGAGUGUAUUCUCAUCCACUCCCUGUCACUGCCUACUGCACGAUAAUUUGGGUGUUGUGUAACUUGUAUAGCAAAAUACUAGAAACAAUCUCAUUGUCUAGCACUAGGAUUAAGUGUUAAUAAAUCAUCCUAAGGCAUCAACUCAUUGGGUUUUAUGAAGGCUUUCAAAAUAAAUAUGAGCACCAUGGGAAAGUAUUGACAAACAACGUGAAAUGAAAACAGCAGGAUGCAGAAUCAUGCUUACCUUAUGCUUACAUGAUAACAAUAUGCCAAGGCCUGAAGCAGGAUCAUGAAGAAACAAAGACAUCUAUGAGGGCAGUAGGAGCAAGCGGCCCGCGUGUCCUUUGAUCCCCUGCACAUGAAGGUGGCACCGUAGUUAGCAGCAUGGGAUGCUCAGAGAACAGAGGGAAUUUGUUGCCGGACGGAUGGACCGGCUCCACCAGACACCACCUACAUUCUGUAAGUUAUCAGAGCCGCUGGGUCUCAUGUACAAUGGGAGCCAUAACACCUCCAGGUUCACAGAGUUGCGAAACCCACGUGGUCUCUAAAACAGGUCUUACUCCAUUUUUUAAACCAACAACUAUGAAGUCCCAGAAAGGUUAUGCACAUGGCCAAUGACACAGCUAUUAAGAUCCGACAUCGGCUGACUCUCAUUCCCAGGUUUUCCAAAAGCCAAAAUGCCCCAGUAACAGCUGACAUUUACAUGCCAUUUAUUUUGUGGGCCCCUCUUGAGUUUCGUGAAACCCAAGGAGCGACUAGACGAUCCCAGGGGGGCUACUGGAUUCUUGUCUCUUGUAGAAGCACAGAAGAAGGUUACCUCUUCUGUCCCUCUGACAUGAAUGUUCUUGAACUGGGCCUGGAUCCAGGUAACUGGAGAUGUUGCUAUGUGUUGAGAACACAUUACUUUCAAUGGCAAAAACCACAAUUACUUUUGCAUCAACCUAAUAAAUGUUACACACUCUAAACCUUAUUGUAUACAUUAUUGUAAUAAAUAAUUGAAUUAA